GACGAACGCUGGCGGCGUGCUUAACACAUGCAAGUCGAACGGAAAGGCCCUGCUUUUGUGGGGUGCUCGAGUGGCGAACGGGUGAGUAACACGUGAGUAACCUGCCCUUGACUUUGGGAUAACUUCAGGAAACUGGGGCUAAUACCGGAUAGGAGCUCCUGCUGCACGGUGGGGGUUGGAAAGUUUCGGCGGUUGGGGAUGGACUCGCGGCUUAUCAGCUUGUUGGUGGGGUAGUGGCUUACCAAGGCUUUGACGGGUAGCCGGCCUGAGAGGGUGACCGGCCACAUUGGGACUGAGAUACGGCCCAGACUCCUACGGGAGGCAGCAGUGGGAAAUAUUGCACAAUGGGCGGAAGCCUGAUGCAGCAACGCCGCGUGCGGGAUGACGGCCUUCGGGUUGUAAACCGCUUUCGCCUGUGACGAAGCGUGAGUGACGGUAAUGGGUAAAGAAGCACCGGCUAACUACGUG
rnacentral:rRNA from 1 species